rnacentral:tmRNA from 2 species
GGGGACGCUUGGCUUCGACAGGGGGUGAUUUCGCGGAAUUGCAGGCCGAGGCGCCGUGCACCUCGUAAAAAGCGGCAAAAGAAUAACUGGCGAAAAUAAACUCGCUCUAGCUGCUUAAAUAUAGCAGUUACGUCCACUACAAACUCUCCUCGAAGGCUGUAAAUGGGCGACAUUAAAUCGAGGCGCUAGCUCUCUUGACGCCGAUGCGGAGUGAACAAGAAAAUUCGGCUAGCUCCUAUGGAACCUUGCCAGUAAGGACCAGAAGAGCAAUUAAUUAACUACUGGAUAAGCCUGUAGUACAUUCCAGCGGAUAGUUCUCUGGACGGGGAGUUCGACUCUCCCCCGUCUCCACCA